rnacentral:pre_miRNA from 1 species
AUGUUAACAUGUGAUACGUUAAUAUCGGUUUUCCAAAAAACCGAUGUUAAUGUAUACACGUUAACAU